rnacentral:misc_RNA from 1 species
UACGGAGGGUGCAAGCGUUGUCCGGAAUCAUUGGGUGUAAAGGGUGCGUAGGCGGGAGCCUAAGUCUGUGGUGAAAUCUUGCCGCUUAACGGUAAAAUUGCCAUGGAUACUGGGUUUCUUGAGUGCAGAAGAGGUCGGUGGAAUUCGUAGUGUAGCGGUGAAAUGCAUAGAUAUUACGAAGAACAUCAGUGGCGAAGGCGGCCGACUGGACUGCAACUGACGCUGAGGCACGAAAGCGUGGGGAGCGAACAGG